rnacentral:lncRNA from 1 species
AAUUGCCGCUACUUCUCGGACCGCGGGAGUCUCAGCGCUAGGGAGUCUGCGCGCGAAUGGCAGGGAAGCGACCAGGGAGGCGGUCCCGCCUUAGGACGCACGGGGCUUUCCAUCUCCUCUGCAGGGUCUGUGAGGGCUUCUGAUUCUCUUAUUCAACAAGCAUUUGCCGGGCGAGCGGCCAGCCUGGGGCGCUGAAGCAGAAGGGGACCGCCGUUGAACAGAACAGACGUGGUCCGGUGUAGUCUUGAUUCAGCCAAAUGGGACUUCCCAAGCCUGAGAACUGUGGGCCCAGGAGCGGGAAAGACUCUUUAAGUUCUGGAGGGGGCGUGCACCCGAGGCACUGGAGAAGGACACAGGGAAGAUUCCUAGAGAAGUGUGGCUACUCCUGCUGGCCAAGCUAUGGGAGACUUACUCCUGGGCAUUGCAGGGUGGAUGGACCAGUAGAGAAAAUUGAGGUGGGAGGGUUGAUACUUCAUUCUAUUACUUCCUGCCCCGCCCCCCAAUAAAAGGUUAACCGAGG